CUGGAGUUCUCAAUGCAGCAUCAUCUGUGAAAGAAGUUUUGCAAUCUACUGGUAUCAAAGUUAAACUUGAUGACUCAGAUCAGAGAACCCCAGGAUGGAAGUUCAAUUUCUGGGAGAUGAAGGGAGUUCCUCUGAGGAUUGAAAUUGGUCCACGGGAUGUUUCAAGUGGAAGUGUGGUUAUAUCUAGGAGAGAUGUUCCUGGAAAGCAAGGGAAAGUAUUUGGAAUAUCUAUGGACCCUUCAAUUUUAGAAGCUUAUGUCAAGGACAAGUUGGAUGAAAUCCAGUCAUCCCUUCUAAGUAGAGCAACAUCAUUUCGGGAUAGUAACAUUGUGGAUGUGAGCUCAUAUGAUGAACUCAAAGCUGCAAUAUCCCUUGGCAAAUGGGCAAGGGGUCCUUGGUCAGCUAGUGAUGCAGAUGAAUUAAAGGUGAAAGAAGAAACAGGAGCAACAAUUCGGUGUUUUCCCUUUGAACAACCUCAAGGGACUAAAACAUGCUUGAUGACUGGCAAGCCAGCAGAAGAAGUUGCAAUUUUUGCUAAAUCUUAUUGAUUUUCAAGGCAUUACUCCUUUUCAAAGAUUUGAUCUUGUUUGGGGGAGCAUUAUGAGGGUAAAAAAUUUUGUCAGAGCUCUCUCCAUCCUCAUAUUUAUAAGUUCUAUCAAAUUGGCCAAGGCAAAGUAUUUUAUUGAUUACUAUGAAUUGU
rnacentral:misc_RNA from 1 species